rnacentral:rRNA from 1 species
UACAGAGGGGGCAAGCGUUGUUCGGAAUUACUGGGCGUAAAGGGCGCGUAGGCGGCCUGUUAAGUCGAACGUGAAAUCCCCGGGCUCAACCCGGGAACUGCGUCCGAUACUGGCAGGCUUGAAUUCGGGAGAGGGAUGUGGAAUUCCAGGUGUAGCGGUGAAAUGCGUAGAUAUCGAGAGGAACACCGGUGGCGAAGGCGGCCUUCUGGACAGUGACUGACGCUGAGACGCGAAAGCGUGGGGAGCAAACAGG